AGAAUUCUUAAUAUCAAAGUUAGCAGGGUCUAUCGGUACAAACCCUCUAGAAACAUGUUCUUCAUCAAUCCGUUUAUAGUAACCCCCCAUAGUGAGGGGUGUUGUGCCAUGUUAUCCUCUUCUUCGGAAUGUGAAGAAAGUAUUGGUGGAUCUACUUCUGGUUGGUCCCCUUCAGCCAGAAUUGCUUCUCUAGAUGUUUUUCUUAGAGCACGUGCAAUUCUUUCAAUUUCUUAAUCAAAUGGUAGUAAUGACGAUCUUG
rnacentral:lncRNA from 1 species